rnacentral:rRNA from 1 species
CGUGGGUAACCUGCCUUAUAGUGGGGGAUAGCCUUUCGAAAGGAAGAUUAAUACCGCAUAAGAUUGUAGUAUCGCAUGAUAUAGCAAUUAAAGGAGCAAUCCGCUAUAAGAUGGACCCGCGUCGCAUUAGCUAGUUGGUGAGGUAAUGGCUCACCAAGGCGACGAUGCGUAGCCGACCUGAGAGGGUGAUCGGCCACAUUGGGACUGAGACACGGUCCAGACUCCUACGGGAGGCAGCAUG